rnacentral:tRNA from 1 species
AAACUCUAAUAGUUUAUUAAAACAUCGGUCUUGUAAACCGAAGAAUGAAGACUAUACCCCUUCUUAGAGUU